CUCCUCUGUCCAUGGGAUUUAACAGCUGGUGUAGGCCCUGGAGGACAUCUUGACCAUGAACAUGGAGACCACAACACGUGCCUAGUUGGAUCCUCCACUGGCCAGACACAGCGACUCCCCAAUUCACUGAUUCAGCAGAGAGGGAGUGCCAGUUCUGUGCAGGCCUAUUCUGAGGAUUCAGCAGUGAACAAGAUGAAUACAGAGGGAAGAUCGUGUGGUAUCGCAGAGAGAAGAACGGUAAUUACAAGUGAAGGAGAGGGUCCUCAAAAGGUACCUCUCUGCUGACAUCGUGAUCUUGGACCUCCAGCCUCCAAGACUGGGAGAAAAUAAAGUCAGUUAAGCCCCCAG
ensembl:lncRNA